UACGUAGGGGGCAAGCGUUGUCCGGAAUCAUUGGGCGUAAAGCGCGUGUAGGCGGCUUGGUAAGUCUGCUCUGAAAGCCCGGGGCUCAACCCCAGGCUUGCGGGCGAUACGGGCAGGCUAGAGUUCGGUAGGGGAGACUGGAAGUCCUGGUGUAGCGGUGAAAUGCGCAGAUAUCAGGAGGAACACCGGUGGCGAAGGCGGGUCUCUGGGCCGAUACUGACGCUGAGGAGCGAAAGCGUGGGGAGCGAACAGG
rnacentral:rRNA from 1 species